UCCCUUCUCUCAGUAAUGUGAAUUGCAGAAUUCCGUGAAUCAUCGAAUCUUUGAACGCACCUUGCGCUCCUUGGUAUUCCUUGGAGCAUGCCUGUUUGAGUAUCAUGAAAUCUUCAAAGUAAAUCUUUUGUUAACUCAAUUGGUUUCUACUUUGGUAUUGGAGGUCUUUGCAGCUUCACACCUGCUCCUCUUUGUUCAUUAGCUGGAUCUCAGUGUUAUGCUUGGUUCCACUCGGCGUGAUAAGUUAUCUAUCGCUGAGGACACUGUAAAAGGUGGCCAAGGUAAAUGCAGAUGAACCGCUUCUAAUAGUCCAUUUACUUGGACAAUACUUUUAUGAUCUGAUCUCAAAUCAGGUAGGACUACCCGCUGAACUUAAUC
rnacentral:misc_RNA from 1 species